CGGAUAUGCAUAUCAAUAAGCGGAGGAAGAUUCUAUAUGUGCACCGUGCGUAAUCUCACAUCAAUAAGCUUGAACAAGCAUUAUCUAUUGGCUCCAGCAUCAUUUCAAUAACGCAGCGAAACGCGAUAUGUAGUGUGAAUUGCAGAAUUCAGUGAAUCAUCGAAUCUUUGAACGCACAUUGCGCCUUCCAGUAUCCUGGGAGGCAUGCCUGUCCGAGCGUCGUUUCAACCCUCGAGCCCCCGUGGCCCGGUGUUGGGGACGCUGCCCAGCUACCUGGGCAGCCCCCCUAAAUGCAGUGGCGGUCCCGCAAGUCCCAGCCCUUUGCGUAGUAAUAUCAUUCUCGCUCUGGACGGCUCGCGGGCUUACCAGCCUCGAAACCCCCUACAAAGACCGCCCCGGCGGCAACGGUUGACCUCGGAUCAGGUAGGAAUACCCGCUGAACUUAAGCAUAUCAUAAGCCGGAGGAAAC
rnacentral:rRNA from 1 species